UUUCUAUCCCACAGUGCACCAUACAAUAUUUAUCCGAUAGUUUUUAUGACAUCUUUUCAAAAAUUGUUAUUCUCUACGAAUGUGUAGACAAACAAAACAAAUUGCUUAGUUUACUUUAUUUGUCUGACGUGCGCGCAAGUAAGUAUUAAGCCAGCGUGGAAAAAAUUGGCACAUUCAUAGAGAUGGCAGACCAGAUAAAGCAAUCCGGAUUUACUAGGCGAUCGACUAACAUCAAAUCAAAAUUGGAUAAUUUAACCCGAAAAUAAAAAUAAGAAUAACAAUGAAAUGUACCGAUUAUAGAAGCUCCACCCAAAUGGGUUAAUUCUUAAAAAAUAGAUCAAAGUUGUGGCUCGUUAAGGAGUCACGGUGGAUAACCAGAGACAUAUGACAGAAUACAUUGAAAAUGACCCGACUAUAUUCGAUCCCGACAGCACUGUCGAGGCUUCUCCAUCAAAGAGCUCCAGCAUUGACCAUCAAGCUGAGCUGGUCAGCAUUGACUGUGAAAGGCUUCAAAUUAAAAAAUAAAAAAAAAAAACAUUGUGCAUUGA